rnacentral:rRNA from 1 species
UUGGCCUUGCGCUGUUUGAGCGGCCGUCCGACUUGCAUGCUUUACACAUGCAAGUCGGACGGCAGCACAGAGAAGCUUGCUUCUUGGGUGGCGAGUGGCGAACGGGUGAGUAACAUAUCGGAACGUACCGAGCAGUGGGGGAUAACUAAUCGAAAGAUUAGCUAAUACCGCAUAUAUUCUGAGGAAGAAAGCAGGGGACCAUUUGGCCUUGCGCUGUUUGAGCGGCCGAUAUCUGAUUAGCUAGUUGGUGGGGUAAAGGCCUACCAAGGCGACGAUCAGUAGCGGGUCUGAGAGGAUGAUCCGCCACACUGGGACUGAGACACGGCCCAGACUCCUACGGGAGGCAGCAGUGGGGAAUUUUGGACAAUGGGCGCAAGCCUGAUCCAGCCAUGCCGCGUGUCUGAAGAAGGCCUUCGGGUUGUAAAGGACUUUUGUCAGGGAAGAAAAGGGCGGGGUUAAUACCCCUGUCUGAUGACGGUACCUGAAGAAUAAGCACCGGCUAACUACGUGCCAGCAGCCGCGGUAAUACGUAGGGUGCGAGCGUUAAUCGGAAUUACUGGGCGUAAAGCGAGCGCAGACGGUUACUUAAGCAGGAUGUGAAAUCCCCGGGCUCAACCUGGGAACUGCGUUCUGAACUGGGUGACUAGAGUGUGUCAGAGGGAGGUAGAAUUCCACGUGUAGCAGUGAAAUGCGUAGAGAUGUGGAGGAAUACCGAUGGCGAAGGCAGCCUCCUGGGAUAACACUGACGUUCAUGCCCGAAAGCGUGGGUAGCAAACAGGAUUAGAUACCCUGGUAGUCCACGCCCUAAACGAUGUCGAUUAGCUGUUGGGCAGCAUGACUGCUUAGUAGCGAAGCUAACGCGUGAAAUCGA